rnacentral:rRNA from 1 species
AUUGAACGCUGGCGGCAGGCCUAACACAUGCAAGUCGAGCGAGCGGCGGACGGGUGAGUAAUGUCUGGGAAACUGCCUGAUGGAGGGGGAUAACUACUGGAAACGGUAGCUAAUACCGCAUACCAUCAGAUGUGCCCAGAUGGGAUUAGCUAGUAGGUGGGGUAAAGGCUCACCUAGGCGACGAUCCCUAGCUGGUCUGAGAGGCUGACCAGCCCACCUGGACCUGAUCUCGGGUCCAGACUCCGACGUGAGGACGCAGUGGGGAAUAUUGCACAAUGGGAGCAAUCCUGAGGCAGCCAUGCCGCGUGUGUGAAGAAGGCCUCGGGUUGUAAAGCACUUUCAGCGGGGAGGCGGUACCCGCAGAAGAAGCACCGGCUAACUCCGUGCCAGCCGCCGCGGUAAUUC